AUUGAACGCUGGCGGCAUGCCUUACACAUGCAAGUCGAACGGCAGCACGGGAGCAAUCCUGGUGGCGAGUGGCGAACGGGUGAGUAAAGCAUCGGAACGUGCCCAGUCGUGGGGGAUAACGUAGCGAAAGCUACGCUAAUACCGCAUACGAUCUGUGGAUGAAAGCGGGGGACCGUAAGGCCUCGCGCGAUUGGAGCGGCCGAUGUCAGAUUAGGUAGUUGGUGGGGUAAAGGCUCACCAAGCCGACGAUCUGUAGCUGGUCUGAGAGGACGACCAGCCACACUGGGACUGAGACACGGCCCAGACUCCUACGGGAGGCAGCAGUGGGGAAUUUUGGACAAUGGGCGCAAGCCUGAUCCAGCAAUGCCGCGUGCAGGAUGAAGGCCUUCGGGUUGUAAACUGCUUUUGUACGGAGCGAAAAGGCUUCCACUAAUACUGGGGGCUCAUGACGGUACCGUAAGAAUAAGCACCGGCUAACUACGUGCCAGCAGCCGCGGUAAGAC
rnacentral:rRNA from 1 species